rnacentral:tRNA from 1 species
GGGCUCGUAGCUCAGCCUGGUGGAGCGCUGCUCUGAUAAGGCAGAGGCCGACGGUUCAAAGCAGGCGAAACAUGCUUUAAGCAAACGUGUUUCGUUUGAUGUAAAUCCGUCCGGGCCCA